CUAUACAUGCAGUCGAGCGGAUUUGAUUGAAUGCUUGCUUCCAGAUUAUAGCUUAGCGGCGGACGGGUGAGUAACACGUGGGUAACCUGCCUUUAAGACUGGGAUAACAUUCGGAAACGGAUGCUAAUACCGGAUAGGCGAUUUGGUCGCAUGAUCGAAUCGAGAAAGAUGGAGCAAUCUAUCACUUAGAGAUGGACCCGCGGCGCAUUAGCUAGUUGGUGAGGUAACGGCUCACCAAGGCGACGAUGCGUAGCCGACCUGAGAGGGUGAUCGGCCACACUGGGACUGAGACACGGCCCAGACUCCUACGGGAGGCAGCAGUAGGGAAUCUUCCGCAAUGGACGAAAGUCUGACGGAGCAACGCCGCGUGAGUGAUGAAGGUUUUCGGAUCGUAAAGCUCUGUUGCCAGGGAAGAACGCUUGGGAUAGUAACUGCUCCCAAGGUGACGGUACCUGAGAAGAAAGCCCCGGCUAACUACGUGCCAGCAGCCGCGGUAAUACGUAGGGGGCAAGCGUUGUCCGGAAUUAUUGGGCGUAAAGCGCGCGCAGGCGGCCUUGUAAGUCUGUUGUUUAAACUCGGGGCUCAACCCCGAGUCGCAAUGGAAACUGCAAAGCUUGAGUACAGAAGAGGAAAGUGGAAUUCCACGUGUAGCGGUGAAAUGCGUAGAGAUGUGGAGGAACACCAGUGGCGAAGCGACUUUCUGGGCUGUAACUGACGCUGAGCGCGAAAGCGUGGGGAGCAACAGAUA
rnacentral:rRNA from 1 species